AACGAACGCUGGCGGCAGGCUUAACACAUGCAAGUCGAGCGCCCCGCAAGGGAAGCGGCAGACGGGUGAGUAACGCGUGGGAAUCUACCGUGCCCUACGGAAUAGCUCCGGGAAACUGGAAUUAAUACCGUAUACGACCUACGGGGGAAAGAUUUAUCGGGGUAUGAUGGGCCCGCGUUGGAUUGGCUAGUUGGUGGGGUAAAGGCCUACGAAGGCGACGAUCAAUAGCUGGUCUGAGAGGAUGAGCAGUCACCUUGGGACUGAGACACGGCCCAAACUCAUACGGGACGCAGCAGUGGGGAAUAUUGGACAAUGGGCGCAAGCCUGAUCCAGCCAUGCCGCGUGAGUGAUGAAGGUCUUAGAAUUGUAAAGCUCUUUCACCGAUGAAGAUAAUGACGGUAGUCGGAGGAGAAGCCCCGGCUAACUUCGUGCCAGCCGCCGCGGUAAUAC
rnacentral:rRNA from 1 species